rnacentral:rRNA from 1 species
AUUGAACGCUGGCGGCAGGCCUAACACAUGCAAGUCGAGCGAGCGGCGGACGGGUGAGGACUGUCUGGGAACCUGCCUGAUGGAGAGGGAUAACGAAUGGAAACGCUAACUAAUACAGCAUCCAGUCACAUGUGCCCCGAUGGGAUUAGCUAGUAGGUGGGGUAACGGCUCACCUAGGCGACGAUCCCUAGCUGGUCUGAGAGAAUGACCAGCCACACUGGAACUGAGACACGGUCCAGACUCCUACGGGAGGCAGCAGUGGGGAAUAUUGGACAAUGGGCGCAAGCCUGAUGCAGCCAUGCCGCGUGUGUGAAGAAGGCCUUCGGGUUGUAAAGUACUUUCAGCGGGGAGGCGUUACCCGCAGAAGAAGCACCGGCUAACUCCGUGCCAGCAGCCGCGGUAAUUC